rnacentral:rRNA from 1 species
AUACGGAGGGUGCAAGCGUUAUCCGGAUUCAUUGGGUUUAAAGGGUACGUAGGCGGAUAGAUAAGUUAGUGGUGAAAUCCCGAAGCUCAACUUCGGAACUGCCAUUAAAACUGUCUAUCUUGAAUUUGGUUGAAGUGGGCGGAAUAUGACAUGUAGCGGUGAAAUGCAUAGAUAUGUCAUGGAACACCGAUAGUGAAGACAGCUCACUAAGCCAAUAUUGACGCUGAGGUACGAAAGCAUGGGUAGCGAACAGAAUUAGAAACCCGAGUAGUCC